UGACUGAAUGCUACUUUGAGGUAGAUGCAGGACAUUUACUCACUUUAUCUCACAUAACCCCCUCACCAGCCCCAUGAGUCAGUUCCUACUAUUUCCCCUAUUUUACAGGUGAAGAUAAUGCAUUUCAGAGAGGUCAAGCAAAUUGCCCCAGGACCCACAGAAAGGACAGCAAUAUGCAGCCAGCACAGCCAUACGGACUGGUAAAAAUAUGGGAAUUCUUCUAUAUGCAUGAUGUCGGGGUGACCUCCUGCGCCCGCCAGCAGAGGGCGCCAGUCUCCCGCCGGGGCCCACAGGCCGCUGCUCCCCGCCGUCUCCAGCCCCCCGCCCUUCCUCGCCCUUCGCCAGCACAAAUACGCGAUGACCCCCCAGUUCCUGGAAGAACGAUCUUCACAAAUUAAGUUUUCAAAUAAGGUCCUCAAUUAAAAGUGAAGAGUUGAAGGCAGAAGAGAGAAGAUGCAAGAUAGCCUCUGGGCAAGUGACAGCGAAUUGACAAGGGCAACGGCAGGAUUACCCUGCGGUUGCAGAGGACCCACUUGAGCCAGAAAGGUUCUGUAUUUUUCUCCAGCCUCUUUCACUAGCUGGGCAUAGGUAUGGCAUGGUGGUGAGUUGGGUUUGAGCAGAGCUGGGACUCUCCAGGUGAAUAACUGGAGCGAGAAAGGAGCAUGAGAGUUGAGUGUGAACACAAGGGAGUGGUUACAGCGAAGACCAGGGUUCUAAGUUGGGUAAGGAGGGAAGUGAGGCCCCAAAGGGGAUGACAGAGUUCACAAGUAUGUACGGUCAAGUGGAUUAGAGAACUGGGAGGAGUAUUUUGAUAUGUUCCAGUUUCAAAUGUGAUUUUAGGGGAACUAAUUAUAGCUAGUUCACUCACACAGUAAAUACUUAUUGAAAGCCUACUAUAAUUAAAAAAAAUUUUAAAUUUACAAUUUAUUGGGCACUAUGUGCCAGGCGCAGUGCUAAGUGUUGUGUAUUUACCAUAACUCAUUCAAUUCUCACAACAAUCCAUUAAGGCUGGUAUUGUAUUCUCCUCAUUGUACAGAUGAGGGUACCAAGGCUCAGAGAGAGCUGGUAACUUACCCAGGGACACACAGCUGGUAAGCAGCAGAGAGCUUUAUAUGAUUACAAAGCUGAGGAUCUUAACUACUAUGCUCUACCAUAUGUAAGACAUUGUGUUGGGUUUGUAUAAUCAUGACAUUCAGCUGCAGGUCCUCUUCCUCUUUGAUCCCAGCCUGAAAACAGAGUCCCUGAUCUCAGUUGCCCAGUAGUAGCAGCUGGGAUGUAGGUAGAGUGAUCUGGAAUUCUUCAUUAGUGUCAGUCUUGGUGGAGCAGUCAACCAAGAUGCCUGCUUUUCUUAGCUGAAGUAUAGACAUGUUAACCAGAGCUUGGCCUAUUGGACUCUUGCUCAAGGACUUUGAUCCAAGAAAGCUCUGAUCAAGGAAGUGGAGAAACGCAUGGAACUGAUUAAUUUUGGCUACCUAAGCUCCCAAGCAUCUCUGCUCUCCGUCCUUUUCUAAACCUGAUUCUCCAACUUCUGUCACCUCUGUGAGUUGGACACUAGCCUGCCAAUGAAAUCCUUUCCUGAUAAAGUUAGCCAGAAUUGGUUCCCAAGACUUGCAAUCAAAGAACCUGCACUUGCAUAUUCAAGAAAAAAAAAAAGACCAAAUAAUUGUAAAGCUAAAGCGAAUGAUUCAUUCCUUGGAUAAAUGUGCAUUAUUAAGCAGGGCCAGGACUGGAUGAGGCAAGUGAAGCACCCAGGGCACAAAAUUUAAGGAGGUUCUCACUCUCGGUGUUGGGUGAGUACAGGGUUGGCUCUAACAAACACCUCCUUUCCCCCCAAGAGUUGGUGACUUAAAGAA